UAUCAGAAGUGCGAAUGCUGACAUAAGUAACGAUAAAGCGGGUGAAAAGCCCGCUCGCCGGAAGACCAAGGGUUCCUGUCCAACGUUAAUCGGGGCAGGGUGAGUCGACCCCUAAGGCGAGGCCGAAAGGCGUAGUCGAUGGGAAACGGGUUAAUAUUCCCGUACUUGGUGUUACUGCGAAGGGGGGACGGAGAAGGCUAUGUUGGCCGGGCGACGGUUGUCCCGGUUUAAGCGUGUAGGUGUGUGUUCCAGGUAAAUCCGGUUCACUUUAACACUGAGGCGUGAUGACGAGGCACCACGGUGCUGAAGCAACAAAUGCCCUGCUUCCAGGAAAAGCCUCUAAGCAUCAGGUAACAUCAAAUCGUACCCCAAACCGACACAGGUGGUCAGGUAGAGAAUACCAAGGCGCUUGAGAGAACUCGGGUGAAGGAACUAGGCAAAAUGGUGCCGUAACUUCGGGAGAAGGCACGCUGACACGUAGGUGAAGUGAUUUACUCAUGGAGCUGAAGUCAGUCGAAGAUACCAGCUGGCUGCAACUGUUUAUUAAAAACACAGCACUGUGCAAACACGAAAGUGGACGUAUACGGUGUGACGCCUGCCCGGUGCCGGAAGGUUAAUUGAUGGGGUCAGCGCAAGCGAAGCUCCUGAUCGAAGCCCCGGUAAACGGCGGCCGUAACUAUAACGGUCCUAAGGUAGCGAAAUUCCUUGUCGGGUAAGUUCCGACCUGCACGAAUGGCGUAAUGAUGGCCAGGCUGUCUCCACCCGAGACUCAGUGAAAUUGAACUCGCUGUGAAGAUGCAGUGUACCCGCGGCAAGACGGAAAGACCCCGUGAACCUUUACUAUAGCUUGACACUGAACAUUGAGCCUUGAUGUGUAGGAUAGGUGGGAGGCUUUGAAGCGUGGACGCCAGUCUGCGUGGAGCCGACCUUGAAAUACCACCCUUUAAUGUUUGAUGUUCUAACGUGGACCCGUAAUCCGGGUUGCGGACAGUGUCUGGUGGGUAGUUUGACUGGGGCGGUCUCCUCCUAAAGAGUAACGGAGGAGCACGAAGGUUGGCUAAUCCUGGUCGGACAUCAGGAGGUUAGUGCAAUGGCAUAAGCCAGCUUGACUGCGAGCGUGACGGCGCGAGCAGGUGCGAAAGCAGGUCAUAGUGAUCCGGUGGUUCUGAAUGGAAGGGCCAUCGCUCAACGGAUAAAAGGUACUCCGGGGAUAACAGGCUGAUACCGCCCAAGAGUUCAUAUCGACGGCGGUGUUUGGCACCUCGAUGUCGGCUCAUCACAUCCUGGGGCUGAAGUAGGUCCCAAGGGUAUGGCUGUUCGCCAUUUAAAGUGGUACGCGAGCUGGGUUUAGAACGUCGUGAGACAGUUCGGUCCCUAUCUGCCGUGGGCGCUGGAAGACUGAGGGGGGCUGCUCCUAGUACGAGAGGACCGGAGUGGACGCAUCACUGGUGUUCGGGUUGUCAUGCCAAUGGCACUGCCCGGUAGCUAAAUGCGGAAAAGAUAAGUGCUGAAAGCAUCUAAGCACGAAACUUGCCCCGAGAUGAGUCUUCCCUGAGACCUUGAGUCUCCUGAAGGAACGUUAAAGACGAUGACGUUGAUAGGCCGGGUGUGUAAGCGCAGCGAUGCGUUGAGCUAACCGGUACUAAUGAACCGUGAGGCUUAACC
rnacentral:rRNA from 1 species